rnacentral:lncRNA from 1 species
UGUGGAAAAAGUGUAGGAUUCCAUACUAAGGAUUAUUUAUGAGACCAAUUUCAUCACUAAGUAAUAGAAAAAUACUUACAAUUACUCAUUAUGGGACCUAUGUGGGCUAGCUUGUGAACGUUUAUUAUUAUGAAUCUAAAUUAUCAAUUACAAAGACUAACCAUCUAUAACAUCACCAAAUGAAAACAAAUUGCUAAAUGUGAAGCAAAGAGUGCAGUAGAUAUGCAUAAUCUAAUAUUUUUAGUUUUGCACCUAUCACAAUAAUUCACUAUAGUCCUAGACGACAAGAGAUGCCAAUAAAACUUUCAAUGUCAUAAGAACAAAAUCAAGCCUGCGAAGAAACAUAUACUGCCCCAUACUUAAAUUGGUACUUGAGCACUUAAUUUUCCAACCAUUUUUCAUAUCAGACACCGAUACAAAUUAAAUUAGAUCAUAUUCUUAUGAAGAACAAAGUUCAAUCAUACCACAAAUUCAAUAAUUAAAACUUUAAACAUUCUAAAAAUCUACUUGAAAUAACAGAUAUGGAAAAACAUGAAACCAGAGAAAAGAGAAAAAAAGAAGCUAAUCGACUUGAAAGAAUACAAGAAUUGAAAGCAUAAACAUAGUUGAGUUUUCAAUUCCUUAAUAUGCCUAUCUUUUCCAUACAAACAUGAUUCAUAUCCACUUGGUAAUCCCAAUUUCAAGAGGAGUACCUGAUUAUAGCAAAAGCAACAGAGUAGAAAAUAAGUCUGAGGUUUGAAUGAAGCAGCAACAAUCAGAACAACAAUAGUAGAAGCAACGAUAGUAGAACCAAUAAUUUCCUCAAACCACACCAGCUUUAAAACCCAAAACUUAUGCAAUAAACCAAUUAGGUUGACAUAAAACUUUAAAACUUCUCUUUUUGAUUGCCUUUUCUUAUGUUUUUGGAGUAUUUGUGCUAUUAAAGCUCAGAUUUGGAGCUUAGAAUUCAUAGCAGUUGGAUCCCUUCUUUUUCUGUCUCAGAUACCCCUCUAAAAAUGAGUGAAAUGAGCUUUUAUAGCAGGAUUCUAGGGCAGCAAGACCUGAUUUUCUUAAUUCAUUCUCACCUCUCUUCAAUUCUAUUUUUGUUCAUUUGGAUCCUCAAUCCUUAACCAAUUUGUUUAAUCAGCCCAUUCCCCACUUUUCUAGAACCUUCCUAGGUAGUUGUGAAAGAUUCUUUCAAUCUAAAUCUCGUAAAUACCCUUUAAACAUAUGUUAUAUACCUUUCAAAAAUACCAGAAAUCUGGGCUAUAUAGCCAAACAUGCUCAAUACUCUCUUUGGGUUUCUGUACUAACAAGCCCAAUUCUAAAUCCAAACCAAUAAUUAGAAACAAGUUCAAUGGAGGUUUAAAUAAACAACCUCUGAAUUAAACGAAAAAGCAGAUUUUAAAAAAGCACUCAAAAGACGAUAAUACAUUGACAAAUAGGAUUAAACUAAUUAUUAAGUUAUCAAUUAUGAAUUAGAAACAACUUAGAAACAACUUAGACAUAAAUUUUAUAUCAUAUGAGGGGUUAUGGAAAGAGGAAAAAAGGUAUACUAACCAGUUUGCUAAAGAUUCCGAUGACCCGGAGAAAACCAAUGGCACGUCAAUUACAAAUUCGGUGAAUAAGGAUUUCGGCUAAUGAUGGGAACUGUAACAUGAUCACUUGCCGGAAUUCUUCAACGGCUAGUGCUCUAUGUUACUAUCAAGCAGAGGCUCAAAGUAUUUUGGACCAUCAAUGGCUGCUCGCCCAGAAUCCAACCACCGUGAGACCAGUUGGAACCAAAGCCAAUUGAUUCAGGUUUGUUCAACAUCAAGAAGAGGCCAGAUUAGAAGGAAAUUAGAAAAAGAGGCGAAAGAGACUUUAUUGGUAUCUUUACAUCUCUAAUUUAGAGAAGAUGCGUGAUUUUUGGAAGGAAAUAGCGGUGGAUUUGGAGUGAAUGGACGAUGAGGGUUAUGUGGUCAAGAUUUGAGGGAGUUUGGAGACCAACCACCGCCACAAGAGAUUUUCGGUGGGUGGCGGACGCUGGUGAGAGAUAAGGUGUAGGGGAGAUG